UACGAAGGGGGCUAGCGUUGUUCGGAAUUACUGGGCGUAAAGCGCGCGCAGGCGGCCUUUCAAGUCGGUGGUGAAAUCCCAGAGCUCAACUCUGGAAUUGCCAUCGAAACUGGGAGGCUUGGGUACGGGAGAGGUGAGUGGAAUUCCGAGUGUAGAGGUGAAAUUCGUAGAUAUUCGGAAGAACACCAAUAGCGAAGGCAGCUCGCUGGGACGGUACGUGACGCUAAGGCGCGAAAGCGUGGGGAGCGAACAGG
rnacentral:rRNA from 1 species